rnacentral:snRNA from 1 species
AUUUUUGCCCGAACACUUAAACC